rnacentral:rRNA from 1 species
AUUGAACGCUGGCGGCAAGCCUAACACAUGCAAGUCGAACGCGUGGCGGACGGGUGAAUAAUGUCUGGGACACUGCCUGGUGGAGGGGGAUAACUACUGGAAACGGUAGCUAAUACCGCAUACCAUCGGAUGUGCCCAUAUGGGUUUAGCUAGUGGUGGGGGUAAAGGCUCCCCUGGGCGACGAGCCCUAGCUGGUCUGAGAGGAUGACCAGCCACACUGGAACUGGGACACGGUCCAGACUCCUACGGGAGGCAGCAGUGGGGAAUAUUGCACAAUGGGCGCAAGCCUGAUGCAGCCAUGCCGCGUGUAUGAAGAAGGCCUUCGGGUUGUAAAGCACUUUCAGCGGGGAGGCGUUACCCGCAGAAGAAGCACCGGCUAACUCCGUGCCAGCAGCCGCGGUAAUUC